GCCGCCGUAGUUUAAUUGGUUAGAGCACCGGACUCAUAAAAUAUGAGUGAGGAGCCUUCGGGCAAUGACUAAGUAUUUGAGCAAUCCGGAAGUCGGGAGUUCAAGUCUCCCCGGCGGCA
rnacentral:tRNA from 1 species